rnacentral:rRNA from 1 species
UCAUCUUCGGGGGUAGAGCACUGUUUCGGCUAGGGGGUCAUCCCGACUUACCAACCCGAUGCAAACUGCGAAUACCGGAGAAUGUUAUCACGGGAGACACACGGCGGGUGCUAACGUCCGUCGUGAAGAGGGAAACAACCCAGACCGCCAGCUAAGGUCCCAAAGUCAUGGUUAAGUGGGAAACGAUGUGGGAAGGCCCAGACAGCCAGGAUGUUGGCUUAGAAGCAGCCAUCAUUUAAAGAAAGCGUAAUAGCUCACUGGUCGAGUCGGCCUGCGCGGAAGAUGUAACGGGGCUAAACCAUGCACCGAAGCUGCGGCAGCGACGCUUAUGCGUUGUUGGGUAGGGGAGCGUUCUGUAAGCCGUUGAAGGUGGCCUGUGAGGGUUGCUGGAGGUAUCAGAAGUGCGAAUGCUGACAUAAGUAACGAUAAAGCGGGUGAAAAGCCCGCUCGCCGGAAGACCAAGGGUUCCUGUCCAACGUUAAUCGGGGCAGGGUGAGUCGACCCCUAAGGCGAGGCCGAAAGGCGUAGUCGAUGGGAAACAGGUUAAUAUUCCUGUACUCGGUGUUACUGCGAAGGGGGGACGGAGAAGGCUAUGUUGGCCGGGCGACGGUUGUCCCGGUUUAAGCAUGUAGGCGGGUGUUCCAGGUAAAUCCGGAACGCUGUUAACGCUGAGGUGUGAUGACGAGGCACUACGGUGCUGAAGCAACAAAUGCCCUGCUUCCAGGAAAAGCCUCUAAGCAUCAGGUAACAUCAAAUCGUACCCCAAACCGACACAGGUGGUCAGGUAGAGAAUACCAAGGCGCUUGAGAGAACUCGGGUGAAGGAACUAGGCAAAAUGGUGCCGUAACUUCGGGAGAAGGCACGCUGAUGGUAGGUGAAGUGAUUUACUCAUGGAGCUGAAAUCAGUCGAAGAUACCAGCUGGCUGCAACUGUUUAUUAAAAACACAGCACUGUGCAAACACGAAAGUGGACGUAUACGGUGUGACGCCUGCCCGGUGCCGGAAGGUUAAUUGAUGGGGUUAUCCUCGCGGAGAAGCUC